UUAUUUUCUUUAUACAUUUAUUUUGCCGUUGGGGUGAGGGGUUGUGAUUGUAUGUCAGGAAACAGCCACAAGGGGAGAGAAAUACUAGAAAUUUAGUUGUAUCAUUUUUCCUGAUAGUAUUAGUUGAGUGUUUCUCUGUCUUGGUCUGGUCAGGGCCUAGUUUUGGAUGAAAAGCUUUCAAUUCUUCGAGAGGAUUGUGGUGUUCCAAGAAAAGGGAUGAUAAUAGCUAUGUUUGGAUAGCUGAUACUUUUUAUUGUAUUAAUCUUAAUGGAUUUAUUCCUUCUGGUGUACUCACUGAAAUAGAGAACCCUGAAAGGGAAUAAUAACUGGAGUAUCUUAUUUUCUUGCCACUUUGCUAAUUUUGCUAUACAUAUUUUUGUAUUACAGAUUUCCUAGUAAGUGUAGGCAUUGUAUGAAUCUUAUCUUCAUCCUUUGCUUUUGUAAAGUAUGCUGGUUGGUCUUUUAUAACUUAGGGCUCAUACAUUAAGUAAUCACAUCCAUUGAAGUCUGUUUUUGUUUGGGUUUAGCUGUUUGGCUUUUGAACAGUCCUGCUAACAGAAAUGUGAUGGAAAACUUUAAACAUUUUACUGCUGUUUAACUUUUUUCUGAUUUGUGGGUGGAUGGGUCUAGGUGAUAGGUUUGAAUCUGCAGGUUAACAAGUAAGAAAGACCUUUCAUGACCCAUGAAAUUUCCUGCAAGAAUUUUCGAUAAAAAAAUACAAAAGUUAUUUUGUUUCUUUUUUGUCUUAAUUUUCCAGGAAACACAACAUGCUUUGACAAAAUUCAGAGGACUGGAAGGCUUUGUCUGAAAACUAAAACUUCUGGGUUUGAAAAAUGUUACUGUAGUCCUCCUCAGACAUUAUGACUUGGAUGCCUGCUGGCCCUGCUCUGCAAGGCUGAGGCUGCCUGCCACCUUUGACAUUCUGCCAUGAUCUUUCCUCUUUGAAGGGAAUGCUGGAAAUGGGGAAUCCCUCAAAGUGAUCUAUCAUCAGAAUUCUCAUUUAAAUGUUUUGUACCAAAAAUAAACAGUUGGAUCCUGCUGUGGCUCUCCUCCAAUGUCUGCUGCUCUUCUCUGUUUCUUCUUGACUUCAUAGCUCGGAUUCACAUAGCCUUCCUGCCAUCAAACACUGCUGUUCCACUAGAGCAUCUUUCAGUUCUCUGGUUCUUUCUGUUAAUCUUCAGGUUUUUAGAUUCCUUUCUGAACCUCACAGCAUGUUUGAUGUUCAUGUGAAGCUGAGUGUGCAAUGCUCCAGGAGCAGGAAGAUCACAGUGGCUUCAGUCUGCAAACUGAGUGGAGAGAUGUGCCCAUGCCCACAUGGACCUGCUGAAAGAGGACGUUUUGCUCAUUCCUUCUACUUCAUUUCUCCUCACAUUCUUCUCUGGCCUAGGAAAUUUGACUUUGUCUCCUGUAGUGUUUGAACAUCUGUAUCCUUUCCUGGGCUGCUGGGUAUCACUUCAUAUUCCCUGAACUGAUGAUGGGAUUCUAUCAGAGAUGUCAGAGGACAUGGAUUUGGCAGUGGUAAGCCCUGAUAAUAUAAACCAUUACAAGCCAGAUUUUGUAAUCCAUCCAGAUCCCAAGGACGGACUCAAACAUACACGGGAGUAUUUCAGAAAACAUUCCGUGUAACUGCAGUAUAGAAGCAACUUCCUUCAAAAUCCCAAGAACUGAAAUGUUUGCAAUUGCCUGUGUAAUAUGUACUUUUCUGAUCAUUAAAGUCUGCUCUGUGCUAGUUCUCAACAUGUAAGAGCAGAUCCUGCAUUCACCGUGGGGAUGUGAUGAGCUAGCAGCAGAGAAGCAGUGCUUGCCUGCAGAGCAGUAAGACCAGUAGAAAUAAUCAGGAUUUGGGUAUUGAAAAGCAGAAAGUGAUGUGUAUGUAUGUAAAAAAUAUAGGCAGCUUUCUAAAUUAUUUUCAGGUGUCUUCUUUAAUCCAUCUGUAAAGAUGAAA